UACGUAGGGGGCAAGCGUUGUCCGGAUUUAUUGGGCGUAAAGAGCGUGUAGGCGGCUAGAUAGGUCCGUUGUGAAAACUCGAGGCUCAACCUCGAGACGUCGAUGGAAACCAUCUGGCUAGAGUCCGGAAGAGGAGAGUGGAAUUCCUGGUGUAGCGGUGAAAUGCGCAGAUAUCAGGAAGAACACCCGUGGCGAAGGCGGCUCUCUGGUACGUGACCGACGCUGAGACGCGAAAGCGUGGGGAGCAAACAGG
rnacentral:rRNA from 1 species